GAGACUGAGCAAGCAUUGCGUCGCGGGAAUGUCAAAGUGUAGAGUCCUACCAGAGACAGCUUAUGUAAGAGUGUCUGAAUAAAGGCUGGUUGGUGCAGUUUUGUGUUGUGAAACCUCUCGCUGUGUUUCAUCCAACACACUGGUCUCACCAGUGCAGUGGAAUCUGGACGAUGGGCAGCAGCAGUGAUGGAGGGGGAGCUGCCCGAAGAGGCAGGGGCAGCAGGAGUUGAAGCUGUGGUGGACAUUCUGUGGAGCUCUGGAUCUGUCAAGCUGCUCUCCAAGAGUUCUGCAGACAGCUGCGAAACCUUCACAGGACACCAAACAUCCGUCGUUAGAAAGUCCCUAUGCUCUGUUCAGAUGACAAAUCUCAUCAGAGAGAGGGCGGUUACGUUUUAUCGCAGUCGCAGUGGGACAUGGUGAAGAUGUUGCUGUUGAAGACACCAAAGCCAGACUGAAAGGACAAGAUGGUGUGUUUGCACUGGUCGUGCUCCCGGCAGCAGCUGUCCGUGUUGGAGAAGACUCCUGCAGGAGCAGAAAGGACACAGAGGCCAUUAAGUAAAGGCCUGAGCCACAAAACAAAUGAACAUUUGGCUGAUUCAUGGAAAAUAUCUAGAAUUCAUGAAAGGAUUUGAAAUAAACUUUGCAACAUGUGAAAUGUGUCCAUAAAUAUUAAAACCGCUCUUAGCUGGAUUGUGAUUUUAUUUUGUAAUUGUUUAGAGUUGUAAAAGUUCCAGAAAGACACAACUUCCACCUCUGUUUGUGAUAUUUGCUGCAAAUGUGAGUGUCCUAGAGGAGUCUAGCCAUGAAUCUGACAUUUAAAACUAAAAUAAAGAAGAUUCAUUUCUCUUUAAUCUUAUAUUUUUGGUCCAACAUGUCUAAACAAUGUGACCCAGAUUUAGCUUUUGCAGCUUUAAUCAACCCUAUCAGUUUCAGUCUAUUGUUUCUGUUUAUUUGCAUACCAAAAAUGAUCUUUAAUAGAUUAUGUCCACAGUUUAUACAAAAGACACAAUUUCCAAUUUUCCAUAAAGGUUUGCAUUUACAAUUUCCAAGAGAAAAAAUAAACUGAAAUGAGCUAAAUGCUAUAAAUGAA